GUCCGCGUGGUGUAGUGGUUUGAGCAUUCGACUAUAACUCUGGAGACCAGGGUUCGAAUUCCUACUUGGCCA